rnacentral:rRNA from 1 species
CCCGCUGAACUUAAGCAUAUCAAUAAGCGGAGGAAAAGAAACCAACAGGGAUUGCCUUAGUAACGGCGAGUGAAGCGGCAACAGCUCAAAUUUGAAAUCUGGCUCUUUCAGGGUCCGAGUUGUAAUUUGCAGAAGAUGCUUUGGGUGUGGCUCCGGUCUAAGUUCCUUGGAACAGGACGUCAUAGAGGGUGAGAAUCCCGUACGUGACUGGGGUGCCUUCGCUCGUGUAAAGCUCUUUCGACGAGUCGAGUUGUUUGGGAAUGCAGCUCAAAAUGGGUGGUAAAUUCCAUCUAAAGCUAAAUAUUGGCGAGAGACCGAUAGCGAACAAGUACCGUGAGGGAAAGAUGAAAAGCACUUUGGAAAGAGAGUUAAACAGUACGUGAAAUUGUUGAAAGGGAAACGUUUGAAGUCAGUCGCGUCGGCCGAGACUCAACCUUGCUCUUCGCUCGGUGCACUUCUCGGUCGACGGGUCAGCAUCAAUUUCGACCGCCGGACAAAGGUCAGGGGAAUGUGGCAUCCUUCGGGAUGUGUUAUAGCCCUUGAUUCGCAUACGGCGAUUGGGAUUGAGGAACUCGGCGCUUCACGCGUCCAGGAUGCUGGCAUAAUGGCUUUAAGCGACCCGUCUUGAAACACGG